rnacentral:rRNA from 1 species
AGGAUGAACGCUGGCGGCGUGCUUAACACAUGCAAGUCGAACGGUGAAAGAGAGCUUGCUCUCUGGAUCAGUGGCGAACGGGUGAGUAACACGUGAGCAAUCUGCCCCUGACUCUGGGAUAAGCGCUGGAAACGGCGUCUAAUACCGGAUACGAGCUGCGAAGGCAUCUUCAGCAGCUGGAAAGAAUUUCGGUCAGGGAUGGGCUCGCGGCCUAUCAGCUAGUUGGUGAGGUAAUGGCUCACCAAGGCGUCGACGGGUAGCCGGCCUGAGAGGGUGACCGGCCACACUGGGACUGAGACACGGCCCAGGACUCCUACGGGAGGCAGCAGUGGGGAAUAUUGCACAAUGGGCGCAAGCCUGAUGCAGCAACGCCGCGUGAGGGACGACGGCCUUCGGGUUGUAACCUCUUUAGCAAGGAAGAAGCGAAAGUGACGGUACUUGACAGAAAAGCACCGGCUAACUACGUGCCAGCAGA